rnacentral:rRNA from 1 species
UACGUAGGGGGCAAGCGUUGUCCGGAUUUACUGGGCGUAAAGAGCGCGUAGGCGGAGAUCUAAGCGUGGCCUGAAAGCCCCCGGCUCAACCGGGGAGUGCGGCUGCGAACUGGGUUUCUUGAGGACGAUAGAGGAGAGUGGAAUUCCUGGUGUAGCGGUGAAAUGCGUAGAUAUCAGGAGGAACACCCGAGGCGAAGGCGGCUCUCUGGGUCGUACCUGACGCUGAUGCGCGAAAGCGUGGGGAGCAAACAGG